GAUGAACGCUGGCGGCGUGCCUAAUACAUGCAAGUCGAGCGAACGGACGAGAAGCUUGCUUUUCUGAUGUUAGCGGCGGACGGGUGAGUAACACGUGGAUAACCUACCUAUAAGACUGGGAUAACUUCGGGAAACCGGAGCUAAUACCGGAUAAUAUUUUGAACCGCAUGGUUCAAAAGUGAAAGACGGUCUUGCUGUCACUUAUAGAUGGAUCCGCGCUGCAUUAGCUAGUUGGUAAGGUAACGGCUUACCAAGGCAACGAUGCAUAGCCGACCUGAGAGAGUGAUCGGCCACACUGGAACUGAGACACGGUCCAGACUCCUACGGGAGGCAGCAGUAGGGAAUCUUCCGCAAUGGGCGAAAGCCUGACGGAGCAGCGCCGCGUGAGUGGUGAAGGUCUUCGGAUCGUAAAACUCUGUUAUUGGGGAAGAACAUAUGUGUAAGUAACUGUGCACAUCGUGACGGUACCUAAUCAGAAAGCCACGGCUAACUACGUG
rnacentral:rRNA from 1 species